UGGCUCCUGUGAGUCUGUCAGGUCAAGUCAGGCUUCUCUGAAGUGGGCUAGCUAGCUAGCUAGCUACGCUACCAUGUUUUGGGAUUUUCCAACCAACGUCGCGUAGUGGCGUUAGUACGUGAUUAGUCCUAGGCCGGACUGAAGAGAGGGAAAGAUCCCUGCAACCAAGAAAUGGUCUUGCGACUCACAGGUAGACAAUGGCUGCACUGACCAGAGGAGACUCCAGUGGGAUCAGGCCAUAAAAUAGUCACAGGUUUCCCCCUUCUAAUGAAGAGCUGAAGUUAAUCCGGGACGUCAAGGCGUUUGGUCCAAGUGUUUACAUUGUUCCAGUGGUGCAAGUAAACAGUGGGUUCUUCUACGCAGCAUCCAGCUCUUCUCACCUCUCCGCGUCAUUCUUCCACUCCAGGGUUCAACAAGUAGACCAUGACCUUGCAAGCACACUGAAGGCUUGUAAAGCUACGAGCAGAAGAGACUGCUGCUGCAUGAUAGUUGGGUUGAAUUGGUACAAUCCUCUGCAAAACUAGCAUAAUAUAAUAAUAUUGUAAAAAAAAUAUUGAUGUAUCCAGCAGGAUGCUUUCUCUCAGUUGAACAGACAUUACUGUGGUUGGAAACUAGAAUUUGCUUUAUCCUUUAUCCGCAUUUUUCUAUUUACUAUGUUUGUUAUGCACUUAUCACCAAAGAAAAUUCCUUGUAUGCGAGAACCUACUAAACACCAUUCGGAUUCUGAAAAGGAAGAAAAUAUCAAAGUAAUAAGGUGUUCGUAAUUAAAUGGUGUGUUUUUUUUGUGUAUGGGAUACAUGAGUUUUUGUCCAAAUAUAUCUUUAUUGAUUUAUCUAUACAGAUUCACUCACCAUGGUAAUUACCCCACCGAGUGCCUCGAAAACUUCCAGUGUUCAGAUUUUGAUCAGUAUUGUUCAGUAUUUGGAUGGGGCGUUCCCCCCCGUUUGUUAUUUGUCUGUUUAUUAUGCAUAAAUACACGCAUUACCAUAGAAAUGGCGUAUGAGGUAAGAAACACUCAUCCAUCAUUAUUUAUCAUGCAUUAACAUUUGUUAAAUAUU